rnacentral:rRNA from 1 species
UACGUAGGGUGCGAGCGUUGUCCGGAAUUACUGGGCGUAAAGAGCUCGUAGGUGGUUUGUCGCGUUGUCCGUGAAAACUCACAGCUCAACUGUGGGCGUGCGGGCGAUACGGGCGAGACUGAGUACUGCAGGGGAGACUGGAAUUCCUGGUGUAGCGGUGGAAUGCGCAGAUAUCAGGAGGAACACCGGUGGCGAAGGCGGGUCUCUGGGCAGUAACUGACGCUGAGAAGCGAAAGCGUGGGGAGCGAACAGG